AGAGUUUGAUCCUGGCUCAGGAUGAACGCUAGCGGCAGGCUUAACACAUGCAAGUCGAGGGGCAUCGGGAGGGAAGCUUGCUUUCCUUGCCGGCGACCGGCGCACGGGUGAGUAACACGUAUGCAACCUGCCCUCUUCAGGGGGACAACCUUCCGAAAGGGAGGCUAAUCCCGCGUAUAUCGGUUUCGGGCAUCCGGGAUCGAGGAAAGAUUCAUCGGAAGAGGAUGGGCAUGCGGCGCAUUAGCUGGACGGCGGGGUAACGGCCCACCGUGGCGACGAUGCGUAGGGGUUCUGAGAGGAAGGUCCCCCACACUGGUACUGAGACACGGACCAGACUCCUACGGGAGGCAGCAGUGAGGAAUAUUGGUCAAUGGGAGAGAUCCUGAACCAGCCAAGCCGCGUGAGGGAAGACGGCCCUAUGGGUUGUAAACCUCUUUUGUCGGAGAACAAAACCCGGGACGUGUCCCGGACUGCGUGUAUCCGAAGAAAAAGCAUCGGCUAACUCCGUGCCAGCAGCCGCGGUAAUACGGAGGAUGCGAGCGUUAUCCGGAUUUAUUGGGUUUAAAGGGUGCGUAGGCGGUCCGUUAAGUCAGCGGUAAAAUUGCGGGGCUCAACCCCGUCGAGCCGUUGAAACUGGCAGACUUGAGUUGGCGAGAAGUACGCGGAAUGCGCGGUGUAGCGGUGAAAUGCAUAGAUAUCGCGCAGAACUCCGAUUGCGAAGGCAGCGUACCGGCGCCAGACUGACGCUGAGGCACGAAAGCGUGGGGAUCGAACAGGAUUAGAUACCCUGGUAGUCCACGCAGUAAACGAUGAAUGCUGGUUGUCCGGGUCGAAUGAGAUCUGGGCGGCGAAGCGAAAGCGAUAAGCAUUCCACCUGGGGAGUACGCCGGCAACGGUGAAACUCAAAGGAAUUGACGGGGGCCCGCACAAGCGGAGGAACAUGUGGUUUAAUUCGAUGAUACGCGAGGAACCUUACCCGGGCUCAAACGCAGGCUGACGGGUCCCGAAAGGGGCCUUUCUUCGGACAUUCUGCGAGGUGCUGCAUGGUUGUCGUCAGCUCGUGCCGUGAGGUGUCGGCUUAAGUGCCAUAACGAGCGCAACCCCUGUCCACAGUUGCCAGCAGGUAAAGCUGGGGACUCUGUGGAGACUGCCGGCGCAAGCUGCGAGGAAGGCGGGGAUGACGUCAAAUCAGCACGGCCCUUACGUCCGGGGCGACACACGUGUUACAAUGGCAGGUACAGCGGGAUGCCACGGGGCGACCCGGCGCUGAACCCGAAAACCUGUCUCAGUUCGGAUUGGAGUCUGCAACCCGACUCCAUGAAGCUGGAUUCGCUAGUAAUCGCGCAUCAGCCACGGCGCGGUGAAUACGUUCCCGGGCCUUGUACACACCGCCCGUCA
rnacentral:rRNA from 1 species